rnacentral:rRNA from 1 species
GGGAGGUAGUGACAAUAAAUAACAAUACGGGGUUCUUUCGGAUCUCGUAAUUGGAAUGAGUACAAUUUAAAUCUCUUAACGAGGAACAAUUGGAGGGCAAGUCUGGUGCCAGCAGCCGCGGUAAUUCCAGCUCCAAUAGCGUAUAUUAAAGUUGUUGCAGUUAAAAAGCUCGUAGUUGAAUUUCGGGGUCAGCAGGUUGGUCGUGCCAAUGGUAUGAACUGGCCUUGCUGAUUCCUCCCUCUUGAUGAGCCGUAAUGCCAUUAAUUUGGUGUUGCGGGGAAUCAGGACUGUUACUUUGAAAAAAUUAGAGUGUUUAAAGCAGGCAAGCGCUUGAAUACAUUAGCAUGGAAUAAUGAAAUAGGACGUUUGAUCCUAUUUUGUUGGUUUCUAGGAUUGACGUAAUGAUUAAUAGGGAUAGUUGGG